GAUGAACGCUGGCGGCGUGCCUAAUACAUGCAAGUCGAGCGAACAGAUAAGGAGCUUGCUCCUUUGACGUUAGCGGCGGACGGGUGAGUAACACGUGGGUAACCUACCUAUAAGACUGGGAUAACUUCGGGAAACCGGAGCUAAUACCGGAUAACAUUUGGAACCGCAUGGUUCUAAAGUGAAAGAUGGUUUUGCUAUCACUUAUAGAUGGACCCGGGCCGUAUUAGCUAGUUGGUAAGGUAACGGCUUACCAAGGCGACGAUACGUAGCCGACCUGAGAGGGGGAUCGGCCACACUGGAGCUGAGACGCGGACCAGACGCCUACGGGAGGCAGCAGUAGGGAAUCUUACGCAAUGGGCGAAAGCCUGACGGAGCAACGCCGCGUGAGUGAUGAAGGGUUUCGGCUCGUAAAACUCUGUUAUUAGGGAAGAACAAAUGUGUAAGUAACUGUGCACGUCUUGACGGUACCUAAUCAGAAAGCCACGGCUAACUACGUG
rnacentral:rRNA from 1 species